rnacentral:misc_RNA from 1 species
CCUAAAAUCCGAAACACGACCAGCUGGAUUUACUGAACAUUAAGUCUUCCUUUGUUCAUUUUGAUCGAGCGGGCGGAAGGGGACGCCAUUUGCACCGUUCAACAUGGAGAGUAAUCUGAGUGAAGAUAAAAGCUUGAACACAAGAGUGUUCUUGGAGAGCCUCCCAAAAGACAUUCGCAAAGAUCAGGUGGAUAAGACAUUUUCCCGAUAUGGCAAGAUAGCAAAGGUGUAUCUGAUCUACGAUCCUCCAGGCUCAGGCUUCGUAGAAUACUUCGAUGCUCGUGACGCAGAAUAUGCAGCAAACCAAAUGGAUGGAGCAGACUUUAUGGGGUCUCGGGUAUCUGCCCGUGUCACAAGAGGAGGAGUGCCCCGUGGCCGCAGCCGUGGCUUUGCUCGAGGGGGUUAUGACAGAGGGAGCCGGGGGGGAGGAUACCACUCGAGCAGCUACGGCAGCAGUCAGGGCUAUGUUCCUAGGGGUGGUGGGGGCUACAGGGGAGGGUUUUCACGGGGGGGAUUCAGGGGAUCUGAAAGGGGAGGUGGUUAUGGUGGACGGGGUGGGUAUUCACGAGGGGGAAGCUACUCCAGAGGUGGCGGUGGCUAUUCACGUGGUGGUGGAUAUUCGCGUGGAAGUGGCUACUCGCGAGGUGGUGGCUACUCCAGAGGAUUCUCCCGUGGCGGUUACGGCGGCUCCAGCAACUACGACAGCUACUCUGACAAGUAUGAAAAAUCAUAUGACAAGCCAGCUGAGAACGGCUACUCUCGCUACCCCUCUGGUGACAAGUACAAGUCCCACUAUUCAGAUGACAAGUAUGACAAGUAUGUGAACUACAGCGGGUCCCGCAGGGAGGAGUACCAGCGCAGCCGUUCACCAGUCAGCCAUUCACCUGAUCGAUAUCGUUCUGCCUCUCCGGGCUACCAGCGCACCAGGUACCCUGCUCUCGCCACUCCAGCAGCUGUCACUUGAUAAUGUUGGCCACUAAAGCAAGUCACAUUUUAUUGAAAUGAGCCACAGGCUGUUGCCAUCUGCACUCGCUGCUGCAGGAUCUGUCACUUAAGCAUUCUUGGCCAGUAGCUGAUAAAGCCAGUAAUAAUUAAUUGAAGACAAACUGUUAAACCAGAUCUGAGGUGAUGGUUGGGUGUGGGUAGCUCAUAAAGUAGGAUUAUUUAUAUAAUUCUUACUGCUGAAGUUAGAAAGCAGAGCAAUUUCAUUGCAACAGAAACUGAUUAUUAGUCAGUUCCUGGAUCUGUUUCCAAAUAAGUAAUGUAGUAAUAGAAAACUUCCUGCAAAAUGUAUUUGAUGAAAAUUUCUUUUUCAGAUUCAUCAUCUGUAUUCUCAGUUCUAUGUUUCACGCUCCUCAGUUACAGGGAAAGAGAUCAUAGAGAAACCAGAAAGAAAGCAGGUUUACGUUGAAAUUACCUUUCAGAAAAAAGAUGCAGAUGUGGAAUGGAUGUCAAAGUUCGGAGUGACGAGAAAGGUGUCCAGUUCUGCAAUACGAUAUGAAUGAAAUAAUUGUUUUGGAAGUUUUCUUAUUUGAUGUUGUGUUUCUUGUGCCUUAUUUAGUUUGCAUGCUUUUAAGUGCAACCCAACAAGUUGACAAGGAAAGGAAGUAAGGAAUAUGGAAAUCAGUAACUGGUGCCUAGAAGAGUUUGUCUUUGAAGUGUUGAAAAUGAAGAAUUUUUAUACUAGAAAAUUUCCUUUAUGAAUGUAGGAAUCAUAUGCUUCAAUUCAAUUCCAAUUUAACAGAUGAGCAUAAAGGAGUAUACAUUUCUAAGGUGGCAGUCUUAAAAUUGGUGUUCAAAAAUAGUAAACCAAAUAAAAUUUGAGAGGCAGACGAUAUGAGAAAUUGGUGUUGGCUUUUUUGGCAGUUUAUGAUAAGAUUAUUGGAAAUUAGCAUAUUUUAAGCUAUUCCACUGUUUAGAUAUUAGGAAAUUGUAAGUAUAGUUUUAUAUUUAUAGUGUCUGUCAUUAUUAUUUUAGAUUAUACACAGAUAUUUUUAAAAGAAACCGGUUCUAUUCAUUUCCUAUCGUGAAUUGCGUAUGAAUCAGUUACGAGAAUCAUGCAGUUUGCAAUGACACUGAAUCGUCAUGCGCCAGUUUUGAUAAAGAAAGGAAAAUUCAUCCCAAGAAACUUAGCGGAAAAGAUUAUUACCUAUGUGGAAAGUAAUGUCUGCAGCAUGGAAAAUUACUGCUUAGAACUCUUGGAAAUCCUACAUAUAGAGAGGCAAGAAAAGACAGUAAAUAAAGGAAUGUAAAUCCUACAGAUAACACGAAAAAGCUGAAAUUAGUAUCUCGGAAUCGUUAAGUUAACAUGAGGAAUCAAAUUGUAAAGUAAAGCUAGAUGGAAUACACAAAAAGAUAGCACUAAAGAAAGGAAAUUAAUAGGUACCUUAAGAUUGUGGAACCACAGCACCCAGUGACGGAAAAGAAAGAUAUGUCAAUUUGAAAACGUUCCGGAAAAGUAGUAAUUUUACAUGGUAAAUCACUCAAACUGAUGGAGAAAAUGCAUUGUUUUUAGUGCUAGAUAUAGUUGAACCUACUUGGCAGGAACAAGAAGAACAAAAGAAGAUAAGAUCCUUGAUGACAAGGUGAGAACCGAAAAAUUGCAAGGUCGUGCCCUAAGAUAAAAGAAAGCGAUAAGAUUGAUGUGGAAAUUAAAUUGAUUUUUGCAAGUAUGUUGGUUUGUAAGGUCUAUUACCAAAGAAGGAAAUAAUUAAGAUUGUAGUACCAAGUUGCGUGUAUUUUACCUUGAAAAUGCUAAGGCAAAAGUAUCGUGAAAUUAGAAAUGCAACCGUACAAUAGCAAAAUAUCCUUGAAAGAAGCAAUUGAAUACCCUUGAUAAAUGAUAUGCACUGGUGGUGUGGAAGGACUAGUAACAAAUGUGCAUCUUGAAACCUGCUGUACCUAGUCCUUAAACAGGUGUCAGUUGACAGAGUAUUAUGAGGUGUAGAACUAGAAAGACAAGUACUGCCUUGGUUUAUACAAGUUAGCCAACCAGCUGGUGAAACCGCUUCUGCAGACAAGUGGGCGGGUCGCGGUCGCCAAUUGGUGGUGGGUAUGGCAGCUCCUCACGCCACUACCCUUCCUCCUCCCCCCCUCCCCCAUCCAGGGAGGUCAUCCGCACCUCGCGCUCUCGUGACUCACACGACUAUAGUCCAGACCGGGCUUACUCUCGCAAGGAAUAUUCCAGUUCAUCUUAUGGAGGACGCCGCAGCCCUGUCGAUUCCCACUACUAGAAAAGUCAGGGUGGGAUCUCAUGCGACAACAAUGCUAUGAGAUGAAGAAAAAAGAAGAGGACCUUAUAACAUAGCAGAAAAAAAAAAAUAAUUUAACCAACUGGGUCUUGGAGGUUCUUAUUUGUUGUAAAAGUUUGGAAAAGCUGUGUAGUGAGUAGCACUUGGGAAUAGAUGUUUACUAAGUCUGUUUUUUACUGAACAUGAACGUAAUAUUUUGUUUGAAAAAUGUGGUAAUGAGGAAAAGUUUUACAGCCAUUUGUUCAUGAUUUGAAAAAUAAUGAUAAAAAGAAAAGUGUAAAAGAGAGUAACAGAAACGUCCCCCCGCCCCUGAACGCACAACCUUUAUAUAGUAAAUAUAAUUUGUUUUGUAAGAAAAAUUAGGAAUACUAUUUAAAAGUGUCAAGUGCAGACAAGCAAAGACUGCCAAGUACAUAAAGUAAAUGAGAAAUAAAAAAAAGAGUAAACAGAAACAAAGGGUUUACGUGUUUCAGGUGACACAGGGCUGUUUACAUGGGUAAGUUACACCAGCUGUGGAACUUUUCUUACCGCAGGCUUGAACCAUUCUCAUUUAUAUGGUGGGGAUUACAAGGAACAAGAAAGGGGAUUACUAACAGUGAGUACUGAAUUAUUGAAGGCAAGGAAGUAUGCCCAAGAAAAGAGAAUGGUUUAUAGGCUUUUUGAUCUGUUCAAAAAAAAAUAAAAAAAAAAUCUUUUUCUUAAGUAGAUUAACAAUGCAUUUUUUAGUAAGUUAGUGGUUCAGCAAACUUGCAUUAAGUUCUUACUUCAUAAGAUAAUAGUUUUACAUGUGCUUCUGUAACCUGUUUGCAAUGCAGAAAAAUUUGGUGGUGUACCUGUAAAAUGCAGUACUAAUGGUGUAAGUGUCAAUUAAAGUUCGUAUCUCAGUCUUCUGUAAUUUUUCAUCUAUGCAGAACUCUGAUUUUUUCAAUAUCUCAUUGUUUCUUGUGUAGAAGAAGAGUUCUGUGAAGAUGACAGUCUCACUGUUUGGCAGAAAAAAUAUAUUUCACUAUUACAACAUGAAUAGAAAAAGUCUGUCUGGGUGUUUGUGCCAACGAUUAGAUUUUUUUUUUCUUUUUCUUUUUUUUCUCAUACCAAGUUGGACGACAUUGGGCCUAGACUAAUGGUGCACAAGGUAUAUCUUGCAGUAUUUGGUAGUUAAUGAAAGAAAGAUAAUUUCAUGAACAUAGGCUCCUUGAAAAGUAAAUAUAUUUCAGAAAAAAAGUAUUUUGCACACUUUGGGAGUGUCAGAUUCAUGUGCAAGUUCUCGCAGAAAUACAAGAAAGAAUAUACAGAAAAUAUCUGGUUAUAGGCAUACAGUGUGGCAAGUAGGUAGAUAUACUCUUUUAUCUUUCAUACCUAUGAUAAGCAACCUCCAAAGUUGGUCACAAACUUUCAGAAAGUGAACAAGGGGAAUUCCAUUUUGUAUACAAGUUGAAAUAUUGUAAAACUGCCAUAUGGGUCAGAACUGCUAAUGAAGUGCAGGUUAUGUUUUGAGGUUGUUCAUAUCUUCACCUUGAAAAUGUACACCUUUAAUAAAUGGUUAAAAGUUCUUGAA